rnacentral:sRNA from 1 species
UCUCCAGGUCAGAGCCGGGGCUUCGCCUUCGUCGAGUUUAGUCACUUGCAGGACGCUACACGAUGGAUGGAAGCCAAUCAGCACUCCCUCAACAUCCUGGGCCAGAAGGUGUCGAUGCACUACAGUGACCCCAAGCCCAAGAUCAAUGAGGACUGGCUGUGCAAUAAGGCCUCCCAAGGUGGGGAGGGUACCUGGGCCACCUCCGAGGAGCCGCCAGUCGACUACAGCUACUACCAACAGGAUGAGGGCUAUGGCAACAGCCAGGGCACAGAGUCUUCCCUCUAUGCCCAUGGCUACCUCAAGGGCACCAAGGGCCCUGGCAUCACUGGAACCAAAGGGGAUCCUACUGGAGCAGGUCCUGAGGCCUCCCUAGAGCCUGGGGCCGACUCUGUGUCGAUGCAGGCUUUCUCUCGUGCCCAGCCUGGUGCUGCUCCUGGCAUCUACCAACAAUCAGCCGAGGCGAGCAGUAGCCAGGGCACUGCUGCCAACAGCCAGUCGUAUACCAUCAU